GUCAAAACUGGUCGUCACUUACCCAGCCGAUAUCACAAAGCCAUGUGUUAUUGUUUGGUUAGAUUCCUGAUAGCUCAUGAUAUCAAAGCUACUUAGCUAUAUCUGGUCCCGUUAAUAAGCAGCGCACUUAGUUCAGUUACUCUGAAACAAACUGACGUCUUUUGAACGAACGACAAACAUACUGAAGUUCUAGUUGAUGAUCCUUGGUUGCAGUUUAUCUGGAAGCAUGCGUUCCUUUCUGAUCCUGUGUUGUCUAGUAUGCCUGGUAGGACUGGGAAGUACAAAUCCUUGCCAGCAACAAUGCGAUCAGUCUCACGACACGUGUUUGGUCAUUUGUACGUCGUCACAAACUCCAAUAUCGUGUGCUGAUCAGUGUUCUACAAGGCGAAGUAUCUGUAGGAUCAACUGUGCCAACCCUUGGGUAGGGUAGUCGGCUGGAAGAUACGUGCAAGUAGGAAACUAACACAGAAAUCAGACUGGGAUCCCAUGCAUUCCCCAGAAUUAUGUGUUCUGUACACAAAUAUCAAUAAAUUUAUAUCAACGCAUUGG